ACCAUCAAAUAGACCUUUACUUGGAAGACAUUAGUUUCCUCCACGGUAAAGAAGAAAAUGCUCAUAUUUGGGGGCUCUAAUGUCUGGAAACAUCCAUCCAAACACUUGAGUCUCACUCAGCAUGGAGGAGGCCCGAAGAUGGGGUACUCAGGAACACUGGCUCUGCCUGAGGGAAUGACAGCACCCCCACGUUAAAUAUGAUCAAUCAGUUUCUCAGGACCAGAACUACCUAAGCAAACCACAGGCACCUAUGGGCAUGUGGAAAUUGAGGGUGGCAAGAGCACCUACAGAUUUAAGAAAACGGGAGAUGGAUUAAACCCCAAAUUUGCUUGGUACCAAGGACAGAAGGCUGCCACGCCAAAUAUUUAGGAUGAGGAAUUAGACAACAAUGCUCUGGACAUCUGUGUUACUGACUUCCCUGUACAAUGAAACUCUUACCCACAAUCGGAAAAGCUGAUGAGGAGUUUGCAUGCUAAAAAGAGAUGAUGCCUAUUGAAACUUAACAAGAAAGGUGAGAAAUUAAUGGAAUACAACAGCUACAACAGAUCAUUUGUUCAGCACUACUCCAGUCCUGCCUCUGAAGGCAGUGUCGAAGAGGAUGGGUGGCCGUGGGAUUCAGAUGUUGCUGGGGAGGUCCAGCCACCUAAUGUAUGAACUGGGGAGGUUGACAGAGGAUCCACAUCAGCCAGGUGGCCAUACUCAUUGACUGAAGAGGGGUUUGGUGUUGGAAAGCUCCCCGAGAGCAGUAUAACUUGAACCUUCCUGUUUUACGCAAGAAAUCAUGGACUGAGAAUGGUUGGAGUCCAGAAGUUUUCCUCCACAGUUUAAGAGGUUAAGGACGCGGCUGCAUUGUUGGGCAAAAGCAUCCAAGAUCAUCCGACUCUCUGAAACACAUGAAAAGAAACAUCAGAGACUGAACGUCAAAAACAAUCACAGACUGCUCUACUCAACUGAUGGCAGGGAAGUACGAAGUCGACAGUUUACAAAGGUACUUUAAAAGUGUCUACUUUUUCCUUAAACUUCUCAAAAAUUAAACACCAGAAAAUGUUAAUAAAUCACAAUCACAGAGUACUCUUAAACAUGCACAUCUCUAAUUUAUUUUGCUUUAUGGUGUAGUCUACUGGGAGAUAACAUCAUGCAACAAAUUGUCUUUUCUGAUUCCAAAA